GACGAACGCUGGCGGCGUGCUUAACACAUGCAAGUCGAACGAGAAUCUACUGAAAGAGUUUUCGGACAAUGGAAGUAGAGGAAAGUGGCGGACGGGUGAGUAACGCGUGAGGAACCUGCCUUGAAGAGGGGGACAACAGUUGGAAACGACUGCUAAUACCGCAUGAAGCAUAGGGGUCGCAUGAUUCUUAUGCCAAAGAUUUAUCGCUUCAAGAUGGCCUCGCGUCUGAUUAGCUGGUUGGCGGGGUAACGGCCCACCAAGGCGACGAUCAGUAGCCGGACUGAGAGGUAGAACGGCCACAUUGGGACUGAGAUACGGACCAGACUCCUACGGGAGGCAGCAGUGGGGAAUAUUGGGCAAUGGGCGCAAGCCUGACACAGCAACGCCGCGUGAAGGAAGAAGGCUUUCGGGUUGUAAACUUCUUUUAAGAGGGAAGAGCAGAAGACGGUACCUCUAGAAUAAGCCACGGCUAACUACGUG
rnacentral:rRNA from 1 species